UACGAAGAGGGCUAGCGAUUUUCGGAAUCACUGGGCGUAAAGCGCACGCAGGCGGUUCGAUUAGUCGGGGGUGAAAGCCCGGGGCUCAACCUCGGAAUUGCCUUCGAUACUGUCGGUCUCGAGUCCGGGAGAGGUGAGUGGAAUUCCUAGUGUAGAUGUGAAAUUCGUAGAUAUUAGGAAGAACACCAGUGGCGAAGGCGGCUCAAUGGCCCGGUACUGACGCUCAGGUGCGAAAGCGUGGGGAGCAAACAGG
rnacentral:rRNA from 1 species